GCGUUCAUCCUAGUGGACAUGGCAUCUGCCUGGUAAACGGAACACUGUGGGUUCGAUUCCCAUCCCUGCACACU
rnacentral:tRNA from 1 species